rnacentral:tRNA from 1 species
CGGGGUGUAAUUCAGUGGCCAGAAGCCUUGUUUUGGGGACAAGGAGUCGUAGGUUCAAAUCCUACCAUCCCGACCA